UGGGGAAUUUUGGACAAUGGGCGCAAGCCUGAUCCAGCCAUGCCGCGUGCGGGAAGAAGGCCUUCGGGUUGUAAACCGCUUUUGUCAGGGAAGAAAUCUUCUGGGUUAAUACCUCGGGAGGAUGACGGUACCUGAAGAAUAAGCACCGGCUAACUACGUGCCAGCAGCCGCGGUAAUACGUAGGGUGCAAGCGUUAAUCGGAAUUACUGGGCGUAAAGCGUGCGCAGGCGGUUAUGCAAGACAGAUGUGAAAUCCCCGGGCUCAACCUGGGAACUGCAUUUGUGACUGCAUGGCUAGAGUGCGGCAGAGGGGGAUGGAAUUCCGCGUGUAGCAGUGAAAUGCGUAGAUAUGCGGAGGAACACCGAUGGCGAAGGCAAUCCCCUGGGCCUGCACUGACGCUCAUGCACGAAAGCGUGGGGAGCAAACAGGAUUAGAUACCCUGGUAGUCCACGCCCUAAACGAUGUCAACUGGUUGUUGGGAAGGUUCCUUCUCAGUAACGUAGCUAACGCGUGAAGUUGACCGCCUGGGGAGUACGGCCGCAAGGUUG
rnacentral:rRNA from 1 species